rnacentral:rRNA from 1 species
GCAAGUCGAGCGAGGCUUCGAGCCGGCGGCGAACGGCUGAGUAACACGUUGGUACGUGCCCUCUACUCAGGGAUAACUCCGUGAAAGCGGAGCUAAUACCGGAUGGUCCCGUAAGGGUAAAGAUUUUUCGGUAGAGGAGCGGCCUGCGGCCUAUCAGCUUGUUGGUGAGGUAAUAGCUCACCAAGGCUAUGACGGGUAUCUGGUGUGAGAGCAUGACC